GUAUUGUUGAUGAGUCCUUCAAUAGGACGAAACGACCGUCCAAUGC
rnacentral:hammerhead_ribozyme from 1 species